rnacentral:lncRNA from 10 species
CGGGCAUGGUGGUGUACCCCAAUAGUCCUAACUACUCAGGAGGCUGAGGCAGGAAGAUCACUUGAGCCCAAGAGUUCAAGGCUGCAGUGAGCCCAUAAUCAUGCCACUGCACCCCAGCCUAGGCAACAGAGCAAAACUGUCUCUAAACAAACAAACAAAAAUAACCACCAAGUAGACAUUAUAAAUGGCUGAAUUCUUAUCCCAACACCAAAGCUAUGACGCUGCUUCUUGAGUUCCCUUUCAGAUACCGUGUCCAGAACAUUAUCGUGAUCAUCAUCAAUGGCAGCACAUCUUGUUAAGAGUGGACUGGACUAUUUAUGCAUUUUAAAUGAACAAAAAUCACUGGGAAUCAGUCAAGCAGAUAUAAUCACAGUGACGAC